GCCACUACUUCUCCUCUGUAGCUUUGCUAUAAAAGAAUCCAGAGAAAAACUGAAUCAGCCACUGAAGACACCACGACUCACAGAGCACAGUCCCAUUUGCUUGCCAGCUGCCAAAUCUGCGUGUGUCCUCAAAACUCAGGACCCUGCGUGGGCUCUCAGCAGUGUAGAACCGCAGGUGGGCAUGUUUUGGAAGAUCGGCUUCUGUAGUGAAGCGGAAAAACCCUGACAUCCCAAACCGGAAAACUACAUCCAUGGGCUGCUGAGACUGAUGUUUACCGACCUUGCGUUUGCCAUCGUUUUUAAAGGGUGUUAGUGUGAGUAUGACCUCUUUUCCUCUGGACUGGGCUCUGAUGGUGUAGGCAUCGCAGCAGAAUGGGACCUCAGGAUUUUUAUUCACUUCAGAUUUCUCUACAGCUCCGGUAAACACAAGCCCUGCACACAUCCUGUUGACAAACAGGCUAGCCAAAUGAAGCUCAGGACCCUCCGGCAUUCUCAACCAUGAAAGGAAACCUUUAAACAUAAGGGGUUCAGAUGCUGUUAGUGUUACACGAGAGACUUUCCACAAUCAGGUUCAAAAUAGGACCUAAAUCUCUUAGUCGUCACAAUGAAAUCAUCGGCAAUUCUUUUUUUUUUUAAUGGAAUAUUACAGUAGUUAUUAUACAAUGAUUUAUCUGUGCAUAUCAUUAACUCCCUCUUGCAGCGUCUUCUCUUCUCUGAUGACGUGUUUACUGGUAUGAGGGCGGGGCAACUUGUCAAUCACAUGAGGUCGACCAAUAGAAAACCACCACCAUCUGAUCAAGUCCGCCCUAUAGUAGCUGUUUUACUCGGAUAUGUCACAACAGGGAAGAAAAGACUAUUGCCAUUUACGCUUCAUGCGGACUUUAACAAUUUAGGCUUUUUUUUCUCAACAAAUGAUCAGUGCAAGUCGGUUACUUCAGAAAACGAAAAAUCAGAUUUUUUUUUAAAAAGUCAGGAAGUCAAAUUGUUUUCAGUCAAACUAAUUUGCUUUAUUUCUAGUUUGUUGUGUUCUUCUUUCUUUCUUUUUGCAAGCCCAAAACAAGAACUUGUCUAAAAAUGUCUAAAUCCUGAUGUCUCUGUUUUUGCAAUUUUCUUAGGUACAAAAUUAGGGAAAAUGGGAAUACUUUUCUGACCAAAUUGGGGUGGAAGGUUUAGCCUAAAUAAAGCACGUACGUACUGACAAAUAAAAAUUAAAAAAAAACAUUUCCGAUCAAAUGAAUUAAAAAAUAUAAUAUAUAUUUUUUUAUUUAAUUUUUUUUUACUUGAGCAACAAGCAUGAAGCUCGGCACAUUCAGUUACCGCUACAAUCUGUGUAAAAGUUCUUAAAAAUCUAGCGAUUUACUUCCUGCAUUUGUCACAGUUUCAAUAAAUGUUUUUGAUAAAAGGUGGAGAAAUAAUAUAACGGUUAUUUGUGCCUCUAAUGCUUAAAAAAAAACAAGGGACACCAAAGUGUACAAUAUGCAUAAUAGUUCAACUGGACUGCUAGAUUUUAGAGCAUCUGAUAGGCGUGCAGUGCUAGUUUACAGUGAUGUUGAACGAUGCUGUUAUGAAAGUCUGCCUUAAGCGCUAGUAAGCAGUUAGUACAUGCAUGUUUUGAUGCUACAUGCAAAGUUCACGAAUUGUCGCUUUGGAACGUGUGCUUCCAAAUAGCCAGCAAGAUCAUAGUCAGUAAAUCGCUGGUUAAAUUCAAUGAAUCGUGCAACAACUCACCUUUGCUCUUGAUGUGUUAUAUAAUAAUGGAAACUCGCGCGGUGUAUGCUAAUGUUUAUGAAACGGGUGCGGGAGCAUCAUGGGAGUUGUAGUUUGUUUCCAGCCCCCCUCCUCUGAGAGCCUUUCGACAACGUAUUUACAUUUUAUUGUUUCGUUUUGCUUUUUUCUAUACAAAACUAUUUUAAUCUUGUACAGUAAAUCUGAGGAGGAAUUCAUGAUAUUUCCAGAUCUGAAGAUUUCCAACUGGUCUGAAUAGAUUUAGUCAAUGCCAGGGGAAAUAAAUACAAUAUGUGAAUAAACUAAAUAGUAUACCAUUCCCCUUUAACCACAAACUGUUAAAUACAUUAGUAACAAAACAAACAACAACAACAAAAAAUGACCAGUAAUGUUAAGCAAAUAUAGAAACGGAACUAUUACAUUUUAUUAUUUAUUUUUUUUAAAGAAAAUGCACAUGAUAUUAAGACAAAUACAUGAGGUGAGAUGAAUCACUAAGCUUUUUGUUCUCUGGAUGUCAAUCAACACAGUGACAAAAUUAAGUUUCUAGUGA